AAAUAAUGAUUACAGUAUGUACCUGCAAUAUGUCAUCAAGCCAAACUUAAGGAGGAAAAAAAGAAUCACAAACAACUUAUCAUGAAAUUCUCAGGAAAAUAAUUAAAAGCUAGCAGAAAUAGCAAUAUGUUUCAAACAAGCUGAACCAUCAAAAGGAAAUCCAAAAGGCACCAAUCAUUCCCUGCAACUCCCAUAGGGAAAGAAAAAGGAGAGAGAGAGAGAGAG
rnacentral:misc_RNA from 1 species